AAGGAAGCAGCUCUUCCACCUC
rnacentral:snRNA from 1 species